ACUCCUACGGGGAGGCAGCAGUGGGGAAUAUUGCACAAUGGGCGCAAGCCUGAUGCAGCAACGCCGUGUGAGUGAAGAAGGUUUUCGGAUCGUAAACUCUGUCCUAAGGGAAGAAAAAAUGACGGUACCUUAGGAGGAAGCCCCGGCUAACUACGUGCCAGCAGCCGCGGUAAUACGUAGGGGGCAAGCGUUAUCCGGAAUCACUGGGCGUAAAGGGUGCGUAGGCGGCUUUAGCAAGCCAGGGUGAAAGGUCAUUGGCUCAACCAAUGUAAGCCUUUGGAACUGUUAAGCUUGAGUGGACAGGAGAGGUAAAGUGGAAUUCCUAGUGUAGAGGUGAAAUUCGUAGAUAUUAGGAGGAACACCAGUGGCGAAGGCGACUUACUGGACUGUAACUGACGCUGAUGCACGAAAGCUGGGUAG
rnacentral:rRNA from 1 species